rnacentral:tRNA from 1 species
GGGCUGUUAGCUCAGUUGGUAGAGCNNUAGAGCGUCUCGUUUACACCGAGAAUGUCGGCGGUUCGAGUCCGUCACGGCCCACCA